CCUACGGGAGGCAGCAGUGAGGAAUAUUGGUCCAUGGGCGCGAGCCUGAACCCGCCAAGUAGCGUGAAGGAUGACUGCCCUACGGGUUGUAAACUUCAUUUAUAAAGGAAUAAAGUGAGGCACGUGUGCCUUUUUGUCUGUACUUUAUGAAUAAGGAUCGGCUAACUCCGGGCCAGCAGCCGCGGUAAUAAGGAGGAUCCGAGCGUUAUCCGGAUUUAUUGGGUUUAAAGGGAGCGUAGAUGGGUUGUUAAGUCAGUUGUGAAAGGUUGCGGCUCAACCGUAAAAUUGCAAUUGAUACUGGCAGCCUUGAGUACAGUUGAGGUAGGCGGAAUUCGUGGUGUAGCGGUGAAAUGCUUAGAUAUCACGAAGAACUCCGAUUGCGAAGGCAGCCUACUAAACUGCCACUGACAUUGAUGCUCGAAAGUGUGGGUAUCAAACAGGAUUAGAUACCCUAGUAGUC
rnacentral:rRNA from 1 species